rnacentral:rRNA from 1 species
CUGGUUGAUCCUACCAGUAAUAUAUGCGCUUGUCUCAAAAGGUUAAGCCUGCAUGUUAAGUACAAACAUAAAUGAAUUGAAACCGCAUAAGGCUCAGUAAUAAGCAGGUAUAAUUCACAAGAUUCAUCCCUACACUAGUUACUUGAUACUGUGGAAAAAUCCAGAGCUAAUACAUGCAACAUCCCGGGACUGUUGCUCGGGUAGCUGAACUGUGGCACUAUUUAUUAAACCAAUGCUCCGGGCGGCUUGAGUUGAAGUCUGGAUAAGGCGCAGAUCGUAAUGGUCGCUUGUCGACGACGACAGAUCUUUCAAAUGUCUGCCUAUCAAACUAUUUGAUGGUAAGUGUAACGAAGGACUACCAUGGUUGCGACGGGUAAAGGGGAAUCAAGGUUCGAUUCCUGAAGAGGGAGCUGAGAAAUGCUACACAUCCAAGGAAGGCAGCAGGCGCGUAAUUCACCCAAUCCAUACGGGAGGUAGUGAGAGAAAUAACAAUAUGGACGCUCUCUAAGAUGGGUCAUAAUUGGAAUGAGUUGAAGUAUAAAUCCUUCAACAAGGAUCAAGUGAGGCAGUCUGGUGCCCAGCAGCCGCGGUAAUUCCAGCUCCACUAAGCGUAUAUUAAAGUUGUUGCGGUUAAAAGUUCGAAUGAUUGCCCGUCCAGACACGUGACCGCCAACGGGCGCCCGGUUCACGCCGGGGCCGUUCGUGCGCGAGCUCACGGCUGCGACUCACAAUGGUGUACUUUGCGUUAACUCUGUUGAACGAGUACCGUGCUAACCGUUAACUCCGGCAGGCUCUCAUGGUGCUCAAAGAUACCACAUUUACCGAACAAAUUGAGUGCUCAAGCAGGCUAGACAAAGCGUCCGGCUCCCCGUGGGUUGGCGUUGGACGAGAAUAAUUGCAUGGAAAAAUGGAUUGACCUCGGUUAUAACAUUUCGUUGGUUUGAUCAGAAAGCCUAGAGUAAUGAUGUAAGCAGAAGUAGUUGGGGGCAUUGGUAUUACGGCGCGAGAGUGAAUUCGUAGCCGUUCGUAGGACAACUGAAGCGGAAAGCGUUUGCCAUGGAGCUUUCUUUAAUCAAGAACGAAAGUUGAGGAUCGAAGGCGAUUAGAACGCGCCUAGUUUCUAACGUAAACGAUGGCCAAUUAGCAUUGGGAGACGCUACCUUUAAUUCGGUGGACUCUCAGUCGCUUCCGGAAACCAAAUCGGGUUCCG